GACGAACGCUGGCGGCGUGCCUAAUACAUGCAAGUAGGACGCAGUUGCGAACGGGUGAGUAACGCGUAGGUAACUACCUAUUAGAGGGGGAUAACUAUUGGAAACGAUAGCUAAUACCGCAUACUAGUAGAUGGACCUGCGUUGUAUUAGCUAGUAGGUAGGGUAAUGGCCUACCUAGGCAACGAUACAUAGCCGACCUGAGAGGGGGAUCAGCCACGCUGGGACUUAGACACGGCCCAGAUUCCGACUGGAGCAAGCAGUAGUGGAUCUUCGGAAAUGGGAGAAACCCUGACCUGGCAACGCCGCGUGAGUGAAGAAGGUUUUCGGAUCGUAAAGCUCUGUUCUUAAGGAAGCAGAACUUAACCAGAAAGGAACGGCUAACUACGUGCCAGCAGCCGCGGUAAUUC
rnacentral:rRNA from 1 species